rnacentral:miRNA from 1 species
UCAUAUUGCUUCUGACU